GAAGGUUGAGUUGGAAUAAUGAGAUAUUGCGGGUAAAAACUAUGAGUUGGUAAAAUUCAUUAGGUUAUAUAAAUAAAACAUUGGGAUUUGAGAAUAUACUUUAUGUGAAAUUGAGAAAAGUUGGAUAGCGGCUAUGAGGAACGCUAAGGGAGAGUGUGAGGAAGGAAAAGCCAAACUUCAUCAAAAACACUACAAUUUCAAGGUGGGGGUGGGGGUGGGGGAGAAUUAUAUUCUUACGGGUGAUUUAGUCAUGUAGGAUAGUGAGGGUUCCUUACUCUCCUAUCAGCGUCUUGAGAUUUAUACUACUUUUCCUGAUUUUUCUUAAUUUAUACUAUCUGUGAAAUUUGGCCAAAUAAGGUUUGGGUAAAACCUUAUUAUGCAAUUGUUGAAAUUAUUUUUCUGUAUGAUUGCUCUAAGACUUAAAAAGAGGAUUUGGGAUAAAUCUUGUACGGUAUCUUCAGUGUUAUUGUUUGACGAUGAUCUAAUUGUAUGAACUUUUGUGUUGUGAUGUAUGAUUAAUCCUCUAAAGUUGAGAUUUUGUCCCGGGAAUUCGAACGACUCUUUUUGUUUCGUUUGGUUUCCCAAAAGUUGUGAUGUUGAUAACCUUGCUCUGUUUUUCCUAA
rnacentral:lncRNA from 1 species